rnacentral:rRNA from 1 species
CCUACGGGUGGCAGCAGUCGAGAAUCAUUCACAAUGGGGGAAACCCUGAUGGUGCGACGCCGCGUGGGGGAAUGAAGGUCUUCGGAUUGUAACCCCCUGUCAUGUGGGCGCAAAUUAAAACGAUAGUACCACAAUAGGAAGAGACGGCUAACUCUGUGCCAGCAGCCGCGGUAAUACAGAGGUCUCAAGCGUUGUUCGUAAUCACGGGGCGUAAAGCGUGCGUAGGCUGUUUCGUAAGUCGUGUGUGAAAGGCGCGGGCUCAACCCGCGGACGGCACAUGAUACUGGACGACUAGAGUAAUGGAGGGGGAACCGGAAUUCUCGGUGUAGCAGUGAAAUGCGUAGAUA